GGCCCUGUCGUCUAACGGUCAGGACACCGGUCUUUCAAGCCGGCAGCACGGGUUCGACUCCCGUCAGGGCCGCCA
rnacentral:tRNA from 2 species